UACAGAGGGAGCAAGCGUUAUCCGGAAUGAUUGGGCGUAAAGCGUCUGUAGGUGGUUUAGAAAGUCCACUGUCAAAUACCAAGGCUCAACCUUGGGCAGGCAGUGGAGUACUUUUAGACUAGAGUGUGGUAGAGGUAGAGGGAAUCCCUAGCGUAACAGUGAAAUGUGUAGAUUUUAGGGAGAACACCAGCGGCGAAGGCGCUCUACUGGGCCAAGACUGACACUGAGAGACGAAAGCUAGGGGAGCGAAUAGG
rnacentral:rRNA from 1 species